UUGACCUCAGAUCAGGCAAGACUACCCGCUGAAUUUAAGCAUAUUAAUAAGCGGAGGAAAAGAAACUAACGAGGAUUCCCCUAGUAACGGCGAGUGAAGCGGGAAGAGCUCAAGCUUGAAAUCUCCGGUGCCUGGCAUCGGCGAAUUGUAGUCUCGAGAAGCGUCUUCAAGACGGACGUGCGGUGCCUAAGUUGCUUGGAACGGCACACCGCAGAGGGUGACAGUCCCGUGUGCGGUGCCGCGCGCUGUCGACGAUGCGCUUUCGACGAGUCGGGUUGCUUGGGACUGCAGCCCAAAG
rnacentral:rRNA from 1 species